rnacentral:tRNA from 1 species
GGGCGAUUAGCUCAACGGCUAGAGCACCACCCUUACAAGGUGGCUGUUGAAGGUUCGAAUCCUCCAUCGCCCACCA